GUGACAGCAGCCGCGGUAAUACGUAGGUGGCAAGCGAUACUCGGAAUCACUAGGCGUAAAGCGCAGGUAGGAGGUUUGGUAAGUCUAUUGUGAAAGCUCCCGGCUUAACUGGGAGAGGUCAAUGGAAACUACCAGGCUAGAGUGCGGUAGAGGUAGCUGGAAUUCCCGGUGUAGCGGUGAAAUGCGUAAAUAUCGGGAGGAAUACCUAUGGCGAAAGCAGGCUACUGGACCGUCACUGACUCUGAUCUGCGAAAGCUAGGGGAGCAAACAGGAUUAGAUACCCUAGUAGUCC
rnacentral:rRNA from 1 species